rnacentral:lncRNA from 1 species
GGCUGGUGAAUUACCAGAUCUCCGUCAAGUGCAGUAACCAGUUCAAGUUGGAAGUGUGUCUUUUGAAUGCAGAAAACAAAGUCGUGGACAACCAGGCUGGGACCCAGGGCCAGCUGAAGGUGCUGGGUGCCAACCUCUGGUGGCCGUACCUGAUGCACGAACACCCCGCCUACCUGUACUCGUGGGAGGAUGGUGAUUGCUCACACCAAAGCCUUGGACCCCUCCCAGCCUGUGACCUUUGUGACCAACUCCACCUACGCAGCAGACAAGGGGGCUCUGUAUGUGGAUGUGAUCCGUGUGAACAGCUACUACUCUUGGUAUCGCAACUACGGGCACCUGGAGUUGAUUCAGCUGCAGCUGGCCGCCCAGUUUGAGAAUUGGUGUAAGACAUCACAAUCCCAUUAUUCAGAGCGCGUAUGGAGUGGAAACGCUUGUAGGGCUUCACCAGGAUCCACCUCUGAUGUUCAGUGAAGAGGACCGGAAAAGUCUGCUAGAGCAGUACCAUCUGGGUCUGGAUCAAAAACGCAGAAAAUACGUGGUUGGAGAGCUCAUCUGGAAUUUUGCCGAUUUCAUGACUAACCAGU